GCUGGUGUGGAUUAGUGGCGAACGGGUGAGUAACACGUGAGUAACCUGCCCCUCACUCUGGGAUAAGCCUGGGAAACUGGGUCUAAUACUGGAUACGACCGAUCUCCGCAUGGAGUGUUGGUGGAAAGUUUUUGUGGUGGGGGAUGGACUCGCGGCCUAUCAGCUUGUUGGUGGGGUAAUGGCCUACCAAGGCGACGACGGGUAGCCGGCCUGAGAGGGCGACCGGCCACACUGGGACUGAGACACGGCCCAGACUCCUACGGGAGGCAGCAGUGGGGAAUAUUGCACAAUGGGCGAAAGCCUGAUGCAGCGACGCCGCGUGAGGGAUGACGGCCUUCGGGUUGUAAACCUCUUUCACCAGGGACGAAGCUAACGUGACGGUACCUGGAGAAGAAGCACCGGCUAACUACGUGCCAGCAGCCGCGGUAAUACGUAGGGUGCGAGCGUUGUCCGGAAUUAUUGGGCGUAAAGAGCUUGUAGGCGGUUUGUCGCGUCUGCUGUGAAAGACCGGGGCUUAACUCCGGUUCUGCAGUGGGUACGGGCAGACUAGAGUGUGGUAGGGGAGACUGGAAUUCCUGGUGUAGCGGUGAAAUGCGCAGAUAUCAGGAGGAACACCGAUGGCGAAGGCAGGUCUCUGGGCCAUUACUGACGCUGAGAAGCGAAAGCAUGGGGAGCGAACAGGAUUAGAUACCCUGGUAGUCCAUGCCGUAAACGUUGGGCGCUAGGUGUGGGACUCAUUCCACGAGUUCCGUGCCGCAGCUAACGCAUUAAGCGCCCCGCCUGGGGAGUACGGCCGCAAGGCUAAAACUCAAAGGAAUUGACGGGGGCCCGCACAAGCGGCGGAGCAUGCGGAUUAAUUCGAUGCAACGCGAAGAACCUUACCAAGGCUUGACAUACACCGGAAUCAUGCAGAGAUGUGUGCGUCUUCGGACUGGUGUACAGGUGGUGCAU
rnacentral:rRNA from 1 species